rnacentral:tRNA from 1 species
UAGGAUAUAGCUCAGUGGCAUGGCACCUGUCUGGCAAGCACAAGGUCCUGAGUUUGAUUCUCAGUACCAAAA